UUGUCUUUUUAUAAAUUAUAAUACUAGUUGCUCAUGUGCAAGGUUUAAAAUGAUUUUUUUAAUUUACUUUUAGGUCGGACUCCGAGUUUGAAACUAUUGUACCCCUAAAUAACAAGACUGGAGGUGCGAAAGCGAAAAAACCGGUGCAGAAAAGAAAGUCCGAUGCUGCUAAUAGGUCCGAUUCAGAACGAGAGUGGGAAGAAAUUGACGCGGGGACCAAGAAGGUGAAGAAGCCUCGCCAGGCGAAAUCUCCUAGGACUACUAGUGGAGCGUCUAAGAAAAAGACUGCCAGCAACCCCUUCGACGU